UCCCCAGCGGUCCAGUGGUUAGAACUCUGCACUUCCACUGCAGGGGCAUGGGGUUCAAUCCUCUAUUGGGGAU
rnacentral:tRNA from 1 species